rnacentral:rRNA from 1 species
CCUACGGGAGGCAGCAGUGGGGGAUAUUGCACAAUGGGGGCAACCCUGAUGCAGCGACGCCGCGUGAGUGAAGAAGUCUUUCGGUAUGUAAAGCUCUAUCAGCAGGGGAGAAAAUGACAGUACCUGACCAAGAAGCCCCGGCUAACUCCGUGCCAGCAGCCGCGGUAAUACGCGGGGUGCAAGCGUUAUCCGGAUUUACGGGGUGUAAGGGGAGCGUAGACGGUUAUGUAGGUCGGGAGUAAAAGCCCGGGGCCCAACCCGGGACUGCUUUGGAAACUGUUUAACUGGAGUACAGGAGGGGCAGGCGGAAUUCCUGGUGUAGCGGUGAAAUGCGUAGAUAUCAGGAGGAACACCGGCGGCGAAGGCGGCCUGCUGGACUGAAACUGACGUUGAGGCUCGAAAGCGUGGGGAGCAAACAGGAUUAGAUACCCCGGUAGUC